CAAACUAUAUACACGGAAAAAAAUAAUGUUAAAACGUUGUGUUUGAUAUACAAAAAUUGUAUAGCGUUAGGCCGUUACGCGCGAAUUAUAUUCUUCUUUAUUUUGCGUCUAUAAUUAUUAUUAAUAAUAUGUAUAUUUUUUUUUUAUGUAGGUCUACAGGUGAAGAAUUUCGAUCAUAAUAUUAAUUAUCAACGUAAGAUGUACGCGAUGAUAAACAGCAAUAUUACGGCGACAUACAAUCAUUACCAACAACAGCUACGUCACAACAACAAUAACAACAUAAAUGGGUUUUUGCAGACUACAAAAUAUACACGAAGCAGCACGCCUCGAAGAGACACCCAACAACGAAAUACUUUUUACGACGACAACGUUUAAUGGAUAACACUCCGAUAUUGUCCUGUCACAGCAGUAAUGUCACGUAUUUGAAUCGUACUGCUGUCGCGGGACAUUUUCGGAGCUGUCAUCCGAGUGAGCAACAUUCAUCUCUCAAUAACGCAUACCAACAACAACGAACAAUACCAUAAUAAUCGCAACAACGGAAUUCAGUAGAAGAAAAUAAAUAAUAAUCAUUUUUUUUAAAAUUUCUUUAUUAUUAUUGAAAUCGUCAUGAAAACCAAAUAAAUGGAUCUUAUUAAGUAUGCGUGCCAUCGAAGUAUUGUAGUACUUAUUAUUAAUGUGUAUAAUAUUUGUAAUUUGUAUCAUGUUUUGAUGAAAUGAUAUUUUUUAUAUUAAAAUGAAGUUUUACUAUACCUACAUGAUAUACAAAGUACAAACAUAUCUUUGUUUAAGUAUAUAUUAAUACGUUUAAGUAUUUAUAUAAAUUAAGUACAAUAUAUUUUUGAAAACACCUGAUCCCAAUGUUAUCACGUAUCACUCAAAUUUUUGUUUGGCUUUCGAGCUUCUAAACAUAUUAAAGCAUGUACGACAUAUAUUAUACAUAUUAUAUAGAUAUUUCGAUUAUUAAACAAUGACGGAUUUCAUACCUCACGAUUAUUUUCGGUUUAUAAAUGAUUAUGAAUUAGAUUAAUAAUUUACAUAAUAUAUAAAUUUUAUGAGGAUUUGUACUAAAAAUAAAUUUGUCAUAACUAUAAUUUGUAUGCUUUAAUUUAAGUAGUGAGGUAGCUAAGCACUCAUGAGGGUUUGUAUACUGUAACUAUAUAAUUUUGAAGAAAUAAAAAUAAUUGUGAAAAUAUGUA